rnacentral:rRNA from 1 species
UACAGAGGUCUCAAGCGUUGUUCGGAUUCAUUGGGCGUAAAGGGUGCGUAGGCGGCGCUGCAAGUCGGGUGUGAAAUUUCGGAGCUUAACUCCGAAACUGCAUUCGAUACUGCGGUGCUUGAGGACUGGAGAGGAGACUGGAAUUCAUGGUGUAGCAGUGAAAUGCGUAGAGAUCAUGAGGAAGACCAGUGGCGAAGGCGGGUCUCUGGACAGAUCCUGACACUGAGACACGAAGGCCAGGGGAGCAAACGGG